UACAGAGGUCUCAAGCGUUGUUCGGAUUCAUUGGGCGUAAAGGGUGCGUAGGCGGCGCGGUAAGUCGGGUGUGAAAUCUCGGAGCUUAACUCCGAAACUGCAUUCGAUACUGCCGUGCUUGAGGACUGGAGAGGAGACUGAAAUUUACGGUGUAGCGGUGAAAUGCGUAGAUAUUCGGAAGAACACCAGUGGCGAAGGCGGCUCACUGGACCGGCAUUGACGCUGAGGUGCGAAAGCGUGGGGAGCAAACAGG
rnacentral:rRNA from 1 species